AGGGUCUCUUGAUUAAGCCCGAGUUGUCCUGAAAUUCUCUGUGCUGACAAGGCCGGCUUUGACUUGGGUCCAGUAUUAGAGCAACAGUGACUCUUGGCCACUGAUGUGCAUUUCUAGCUUCAGAACCCAUGACUUUUUAUGAUUCUUCAGUGUGAUCCCCACAAUGGCCUCGGGGACCUAUACCAAGACCAUUCUCACGAUGUGACUUCUGUAAACCAUAAAGCAGCCACUGUGUUUUACAAUCUGCUUCCUUUCGUCCUCCCUUCUCCCUUCAGAGAGCCACUUUAGCACCACGACUAGAAGGACAGGAACAACCAGAGCCUCAUCAAAUCCAGCAGAGAGAUGGGACCACAUCACCACUACUACAACGAGAAGGCCAGGAACAACUAGAGCACCGUCAAAUCCUAUGGAACUUGAUGGGUUUGACUUGGAAGAUGCCUUGUAUGAUCAGAAAAAAAGCCAAGUACAGGAGAAGGAGGAGG
rnacentral:lncRNA from 1 species